rnacentral:lncRNA from 1 species
UGGUGUGUCUCUUUCUCACCGUCUUCAGUCCUUCUUUCGAAGAUUUUGUCAGUGGAUGGAUUUAUUAGAUCCUGUAAACGUGUUUAUUUCAGUUGAAAGCAUAGAAAAAUCACGACAGCUGUUGUUUACUACUGAGGAUGCACCCAAACACUACCUGGAUAACCAAAGGGUAUCUGUCUCAUGACCUCAUAUGUGCACAGAUGUGUAUGGUUCAACAUGACCUUACCUUGUACAGAGUCGAAUUAAGUAAGGUUUGGUAACUAAUCCUGCCAUUGUACAUGUUGCCUAGGGGAUUCACUUUACAAAGAUGGGGAGUUAGAAUUCUAUCUUAUAAUACAGCCAGGGCAGUGUU